GAGCGUAUGGGCUGAGUUUGCUGAGCGGUGAUAAUGGGUAGAUCGUAAAGACGCUGCAAGUACGUCCAUGUAAGCUCGAGCCGCGCCAUCCUUGGCGCGGACGCUUU
rnacentral:ncRNA from 1 species